ACAGCAGUCGCCACGGGAAUACGAGGGGGGCAAGCGUUGUUCGGAAUUAUUGGGCGUAAAGGGCGCGUAGGCGGUUUGACAAGUCUGAUGUGAAAUCUCUGGGCUCAACCCAGAGUCUGCAUCGGAAACUGUCGAGCUUGAGUAUGGGAGAGGUGAGUGGAAUUUCCGGUGUAGCGGUGAAAUGCGUAGAUAUCGGAAGGAACACCUGUGGCGAAAGCGGCUCACUGGACCAUUACUGACGCUGAGGCGCGAAAGCUAGGGGAGCAAACAGGAUUAGAUACCCCCGUAGUCCCUGUCUCUUAUAC
rnacentral:rRNA from 1 species